ACUCUGUGGUGCGAACAUUUUUGGAUCAACAUUUUAAAAUGUUCCCAAGCCUCAUGAAAACUUUUCCCUUCCAUUUUUCUAAAACCAACAAUUUCUCUUCUUAGUUG
rnacentral:snoRNA from 1 species